rnacentral:rRNA from 1 species
AUUGAACGCUGGCGGCAUGCUUUACACAUGCAAGUCGAACGGUAACAGGGAGCUUGCUCCGCUGACGAGUGGCGAACGGGUGAGUAAUAUAUCGGAACGUACCCAAGAGUGGGGGAUAACGUAGCGAAAGUUAAGCUAAUACCGCAUACGAUCUAUGGAUGAAAGCAGGGGAUCUUCGGGCCUUGUGCUCCUGGAGCGGCCGAUAUCUGAUUAGCUAGUUGGUGAGGUAAAGGCUCACGAAGGCGACGAUCAGUAGCUGGUCUGAGAGGACGACCAGCCACACUGGAACUGAGACACGGUCCAUACUCCUACGGGAGGCAGCAGUGGGGAAUUUUGGACAAUGGGCGCAAGCCUGAUCCAGCAAUGCCGCGUGAGUGAAGAAGGCCUUCGGGUUGUAAAGCUCUUUUGUCAGGGAAGAAACGGCUGUAGCUAAUAUCCACGGCUAAUGACGGUACCUGAAGAAUAAGCACCGGCUAACUACGUGCCAGCCGCCGCGGUAA